GUCCACGCAGUAACGAUGAUAACUCGUUGUCGGCGAUACACAGUCGGUGACUAAGCGAAGCGAUAAGUUAUCCACCUGGGAGUACGUUCGCAAGAAUGAAACUCAAAGGAAUUGACGGGGCCCGCACAAGCGGAGGAACAUGUGGUUUAAUUCGAUGAUACGCGAGGAACCUUACCCGGGCUUGAAAGUUAGCGACGAUUCUUGAAAGAGGAUUUUCCCCUUCGGGGCGCGAAACUAGGUGCUGCAUGGUUGUCGU
rnacentral:rRNA from 1 species